UUAGGUAUUAGUAAAAACAACGAGAAAAGCAAAAGAAAUGAGAGUAAAAAGCUAACUUUUCGACGGUUCAAAAGAAACUUUAUGAUGGAAAAUACAGUGCUGAUAAAUUCUAAAGCUUGCUUACAAUAGUAAACGAAGAAAAAGAUCGACUUUUUAAAGAAUGUGUUAGAGAUAUUUCUAGAUAUGUUUGAGUUGACAUCUGACUGCAGGCCACGGCUCAAAGGCGAAGGGUCGUUCACAGACAAUUCGUCGCUUGCAUGAUUGGGAGUAGAGUGAUUCUGAUGCACUAAUGCAUCAUUCGCUAUCAAAAGCUGUUCCAUGUCAAAAAAAUCAUUAGAGGAUGCCUGUCGCUUUCUAGACAUCAUCACAAAAGGCACUGAUGAUAUCGAAAUCCCCUCUCUUCGGAAUCAUUCAACACGAGUUUCGCCAAAACAGUGAGUUGUAUUGAAACAUAGACUUAAAUUAAUAGGUUUUUAGUUAUUGAUUAAACGAAAGAAUGCUUUUACCGUUAUACGCAUUUAUAUAAAGAAAUGAAGAA